rnacentral:rRNA from 1 species
UGAGGAACAUGACCUUCGGCGGGGGAUAGCCGGCCCAACGGCCGGGUAAUACCGCGUACGACCACAUGGGGACAUCCCUGGGUGGUGAAAGCAGCAAUGCGCCGAUGGAGUGCCUCGCGGCCUAUCAGCUAGUUGGUGAGGUAAUGGCUCACCAAGGCAACGACGGGUAGCUGGUCUGAGAGGAUGGCCAGCCACAUUGGGACUGAGACACGGCCCAGACUCUACGGGAGG